ACGGCCGUACCAUGCUGAAAACAGCAGUUCUCAUCCGAUCGCCAAAGUUAAGCAUCAUUGGGCGCGGUCAGUACUUGGGAGGGUGACCACCUGGGAACACAGCGUGCUGUUG
rnacentral:rRNA from 1 species